GCCCCCACCAUGCCAGAGCAUCCUAGCCAGGCCCUGCGUGUGAACGGCGAGGGGCCAGCUGCCCCUGCUCCUGGUGUGUGGGGCCUCCCUCUCCUGCUGCUGAGGGAGCCCGCUGGAAUCUCGGCUCUGCCCCAGGCGCCAGCAGCUCCUUGGUCGAUGCGCUCAUUCACACACAGAAGUACCAGCAAGCGUGCUCAUUGUUUGAAGAUCCUGCACUUGGGAAACAAAUCCAGAAAAAGAAAAAGAGCCUGUGGCAGAAAUCGCAUGAACAGACUGAUCUUGCAGACAGACACAGAGACAGCUUCCUCAAACCUAUGUCCUCAAGCAGAACGUCUGGAAGGAUUGUAGCCUUGAGCCAGAGGAGACAAGCUAAAAACCUCCUGAAAGACUCCAGGGCUAGCAAAACUGUGUACAUGAGUACCUGUGAGUGUGUAUGGUUCUGUGUCUGUUUGUGUCUGGCAUCUGUAUGUUUCUGGGUACAUGUGUAUGUGUGUCCACAUGUGUGGGUGUCUGGGUGUGUAUAUGCAUAUGUAUGUGAGCUUGCAAGGGGAAGUGUAAGAAAGAAGGAAUGAGUGUUUACUGAGAGCCUACCUUGUCCCAAGUGCUUGGGGCAUUAUCUUAUUUAAUCCUCAGGUUUUCUUGUCUCCAUUUUACAGCUGAGGAAACUGAAAUUCAGGAAAGUAAAGAAACUCACUCAAAUAUUUUCUGCCUAUAAGUGUCAGACCUCGGGUGCCACAGUUCUUGUAGCCUUCCCAGUCUGUAAUAAAAGAACUGAAGAAAUAGAAAUAUCAUGUGUGUGUGUUUGUGUCUGUGUUUUUUCCCAUCCAAUAGCAUGUUGUUGGGAAUUGAAUCAUGCCCCUCACAAAAGGCAUGUUCACAGGCCUAGAGCUGCAGUGUGCCUAAGAGUUACCUCCUGAGAGCCUCCACGUUGCUCAAAUGUGGCCACUCUCUAAGCCAAACUCAGCGUGUAAACCCAUUACCUUCCCCCCACCAUGGGACAUGACACCCAGGGAUGAGCCUCCAUGGCACCAAGAGAUUGCUACCAAUCACUAAAUGGUGAUGCAACUAGAAAAAGACCUUGAAUGAAAGGGGGAG
rnacentral:lncRNA from 1 species